UGGGGAAUAUUGGGCAAUGGGGGAAACCCUGACCCAGCAACGCCGCGUGAGGGAAGAAGGUUUUCGGAUUGUAAACUUCUGUCCUCAGGGAAGAAGGAAGUGACGGUACCUGAGGAGGAAGCCCCGGCUAACUACGUGCCAGCAGCCGCGGUAAUACGUAGGGCGCAAGCGUUGUCCGGAAUUAUUGGGCGUAAAGAGCUCGUAGGCGGUUUGUCGCGUCUGCUGUGAAAACCCGAGGCUCAACCUCGGGCUUGCAGUGGGUACGGGCAGACUAGAGUGCGGUAGGGGAGACUGGAAUUCCUGGUGUAGCGGUGGAAUGCGCAGAUAUCAGGAGGAACACCGAUGGCGAAGGCAGGUCUCUGGGCCGCAACUGACGCUGAGGAGCGAAAGCGUGGGGAGCAAACAGG
rnacentral:rRNA from 2 species